AGUGAACGCUGGCGGUAGGCCUAACACAUGCAAGUCGAACGGCAGCACAGUAAGAGCUUGCUCUUACGGGUGGCGAGUGGCGGACGGGUGAGGAAUACAUCGGAAUCUACUUUUUCGUGGGGGAUAACGUAGGGAAACUUACGCUAAUACCGCAUACGACCUACGGGUGAAAGCAGGGGAUCUUCGGACCUUGCGCGAUUGAAUGAGCCGAUGUCGGAUUAGCUAGUUGGCGGGGUAAAGGCCCACCAAGGCGACGAUCCGUAGCUGGUCUGAGAGGAUGAUCAGCCACACUGGAACUGAGACACGGUCCAGACUCCUACGGGAGGCAGCAGUGGGGAAUAUUGGACAAUGGGCGCAAGUCUGAUCCAGCCAUACCGCGUGGGUGAAGAAGGCCUUCGGGUUGUAAAGCCCUUUUGUUGGGAAAGAAAAGCAGCAGGUUAAUACCCCGCUGUUCGGACGGUACCCAAAGAAUAAGCACCGGCUAACUUCGU
rnacentral:rRNA from 1 species